GACAAUGGCCAUACCUUUCUGUACACAUUUUAUCUCAUCUGAUCUUGGAAGUUAAGGAGUCGGGCCUGGCUACCAUCC
rnacentral:rRNA from 1 species